rnacentral:rRNA from 1 species
AAUUGAGAGUGGCGCACGGGUGCGUAACGCGUAUGCAACCUACCCUAUACAGGGGGAUAGCCCGGAGAAAUCUGGAUUAAUACCCCAUAGCACUAUGUUGAGGCAUUUCGAUAUAGUUAAAGAUUUAUCGGUAUAGGAUGGGCAUGCGUCUGAUUAGCUAGUUGGCGGUGUAACGGACCACCAAGGCGACGAUCAGUAGGGGUUCUGAGAGGAAGGUCCCCCACACUGGCACUGAGAUACGGGCCAGACUCCUACGGGAGGCAGCAGUAGGGAAUAUUGGGCAAUGGACGAGAGUCUGACCCAGCCAUGCCGCGUGCGGGAGGACGGCGUUCUGCGUUGUAAACUGCUUUUAUCUGGGAAAAAAAGGCCCAUGCGUGGGA